rnacentral:rRNA from 1 species
AUACGUAGGGGGCGAGCGUUGUCCGGAAUGAUUGGGCGUAAAGGGCGCGUAGGCGGCGCGGUAAGUCUGGAGUGAAAGUCCUGCUUUCAAGGUGGGAAUUGCUUUGGAUACUGCCGCGCUUGAGUGCAGGAGAGGUUAUCGGAAUUCCCGGUGUAGCGGUGAAAUGCGUAGAGAUCGGGAGGAACACCAGUGGCGAAGGCGGGUAACUGGACUGCAACUGACGCUGAGGCGCGAAAGUGUGGGGAGCGAACAGGAUUAGAUACCCUGGUAGUCCACACUGUAAACGAUGAAUGCUAGGUGUAAGAGGUAUCGACCCCUUUUGUGCCGGAGUCAACACAAUAAGCAUUCCGCCUGGGGAGUACGGCCGCAAGGUUGAAACUCAAAUGAAUUGGCGGGG